GUCCUAUCACUCUUUCCACUCUUCCUCACCCUUAUCUUUAUCUGUAAAUUUCCACUCUUUUGUUUCCGGAUUCUCUAGUUCGACGUCGUAAAAGUAAAACGCCCCCUAGCUAGGCUGAGUUCUACAAGCUUCAACUUCACUUUCUUAUGGUCAAGGCCUUCAAACAAGCAACUAUCUCUGGGAAAGUUGCUUUUCAAUUUUUAUCUCUAUCUUGGGCUUGCUGCUAUUUUUAUAUUUCCUUGAAAAUUUGAAGACUUAUAUAAAGUUGGCAACUAAAAGCUCAGACAAGAACGGCAAGACAUCCAAGGAGGAACACAAAAAUAGAAGAGGAAAGAGAGAAGAAAAAAAAGGAAGAGGAAAGAUCAAUUGGAAAGCGAGGAAGCUGUUUCCAUGUUUCCAACCAGACUUGCGCUGCAAGAAAGAAAAGUCUUCCCACUUCCCAGUCUAAAGGUACAAGCGAUGGGGACGAGAUGUUACCGAGUUCAUCAGCUACAUAAGUCAAUUACACCACUGCUCGUUCAAGCUGAGACCUAUGUAUCAUGUUGAUCGAGUGUGGGCUAUGGAAUAAUUCUCAACUGGAUCUUGAUCAUUUAAUGUACACUAGAAAUCGGAAAAUAAAAUUCUUUUAAUCUAUUUGAGUGUUGAAAUUUGUAUAACAAUUAUUUGCUUUUCUUUCCACCCAUAAGAUGGAUUUCACUGAAAAUGUGACUUUUUA